rnacentral:rRNA from 1 species
GAUGAACGCUGGCGGCGUGCUUAACACAUGCAAGUCGAACGGAAAGGCUCCUGCUUGCAGGGGUACUCGAGUGGCGAACGGGUGAGUAACACGUGGGUGAUCUGCCCUGCACUUCGGGAUAAGCCUGGGAAACUGGGUCUAAUACCGGAUAGGACCACAUUUUGGAUGGUGUGGUGGAAAGUUUUUCGGUGUGGGAUGAGCUCGCGGCCUAUCAGCUUGUUGGUGGGGUAAUGGCCUACCAAGGCGUCGACGGGUAGCCGGCCUGAGAGGGUGUACGGCCACAUUGGGACUGAGAUACGGCCCAGACUCCUACGGGAGGCAGCAGUGGGGAAUAUUGCACAAUGGGCGCAAGCCUGAUGCAGCGACGCCGCGUGGGGGAUGACGGCCUUCGGGUUGUAAACUCCUUUCGCUAGGGACGAAGCGUUUUUGUGACGGUACCUGGAGAAGAAGCACCGGCUAACUACGUGC